rnacentral:rRNA from 1 species
AUUGAACGCUGGCGGCAGGCCUAACACAUGCAAGUCGAGCGAGCGGCGGACGGGGGAGAAAUGUAUGGGGACUGCGCGAGAGAGGGGGAUAACUACUGGAAAAGGUAGCGAAUACCGCAUACUAUCGGAUAACCCAUAUGGGAUUAGCUAGUAGGUGAGGGAAUGGCUCACCUAGGCGACGAUCCCUAGCUGGUCUGAGAGGAUGAUCAGCCACACUGGAACUGAGACACGGCCCAGACUCCUACGGAGGCAGCAGUGGGGAAUAUUGCACAAUGGGCGCAAUCCUGAUGCAGCCAUGCCGCGUGUAUGAAGAAGGCCCUAGGGUUGUAAAGUACUUUCAGUCGGGAGGCGUUACUCACAGAAGAAGCACCGGCUAACUCCGUGCCAGCAGCCGCGGUAAUUC